AUUAAUAUAUAUUUUAUUUUGUUUGUUUG
rnacentral:guide_RNA from 1 species